CUGUUGGGCCCAAACGGAGCCGAGCAAGAAUUAAUGCAAAUCACAAGCACGAGCUCCCUAAAACGUAAACUCUUCCAACUUCCCCCACUGCCAAUUUUCUCUUCUCUUCUCCAAAUACCAAGCUCUCGUUUCCUCUGUUGCUCCUCCCUUCUCUUCUCUUCACUUCAAUUUUCUCACGUCCGCGUUCUCUCUCCGGUUCUCCACAGGCCGUAGCAAAAGUGUCAAAAGUGAUAAAGGUAUAUACAACUUAAACUUGCUUGGAAGAGGACGCAAAGGUUAAUAUUAGUUUAGUGGAUGACCUAGAGGUUAUUUCUGAUGAGAAUUGAGGGAUGAAAGGAAGUGUCCUGAGUGAGAUGCUGAGGUAUCUGGGAUAUGCAACCCUUGUUCAGUAACAAACAUAAAUUCCAACGAAAAGAAUUAUAGUUCUGACCGCUGGUUAUUUCAGUGAGAGAUGACAUCAUGUAAUGCAGAAACAAGAUCAUGUAAGGAUGAGAAGGAAAGAAAGAGCUCAAGUGAGACAUGUUUUGCUUUGAGUAAGGUUGGUGUUUUAGAUUGUGAUUCUAUAUAUAAAUCCUGUUUGAUGAGAAAUUCACCCUUGGAUGGAGAUAUGAGUGUAGAUCCUGCUAUCAACAAUAGUAUAGGGUCAUAUGUCAAAGAGUCGCAAUGUAAUUUGGAAUCAAAUUGUUCUCAGACAAAGAAAAAGAGAGGGCCACAAAUUAAGCAGAAUGGCCCAAUAAGUCCAAGUACUAGUUUGGUAAAGAAACAUGAUAAUAAUAGUGAUGCUGACCUUGUUUUGAGUGAAAAGGAAGAUGUUAAAAUUAAUCAGAGAAAGGGAAAUAUGAAAACGUGUCACAGAAAAAGAUGCAAGUCCUCUGACUCUGAAGAGAAUGCAGAACCUAUCAUGGUGGCUAGACAAACUUCAAGAAAUUCAAGUGUGCAUUCAUUUGAGCUUUCAGAGAAUGAGAUUGGAAUAGUACAACCUGGGGAACAUGCUACUUCUGUUAAGGUUGUGGAAAAUGUUUUGACAGAGAAGACCUCUUCCAACUGUUCAAAUGGUGAUUUUGCAUGUUUAGGAGUUAAGAAUAUAACUGAGAUAGAGAAGGAUGUGGAUUUAGAUCCUCCUCUGAAGGAGGGAAAUCUUCCUCAAGUAUCACUCUCUUCACUAGAAGGACCUCAUGUUGGAGGUGCUGAUAAAAAGCUUCUUAUCCUUGAUGUUAAUGGACUUCUAGCUGAUAUUGUUCCAUAUUGUUCUGAUGCAUACAAGCCUGACAUUAUAAUAUCCAGGAAAUCAGUUUUCAAGAGGCCCUUCUGUGAUGAUUUUUUACUGUUCUGCUUUGACAAAUUUAAUGUAGGCGUUUGGUCAUCUAGAACCAAGAAAAAUGUGGACAUGGUAAUUGAUUUUCUCAUGAGAGAUUCUCGACAUAAGUUGCUUUUUUGUUGGCAUCAAUCCCACUGUACUGAUACAGGAUUCACCACUGUCGAGAAUAACAGCAAACCCCUGCUUCUGAAGGAAUUAAAAAAACUAUGGGACAAACUUGAGCCUGAUCUUCCAUGGAAUAAGGGGGAAUACAACGAAUCUAAUACAUUAUUGUUGGAUGAUUCACCAUACAAGGCCUUGCGCAAUCCAGCGCACACUGCUGUAUUUCCCCAUUCAUAUCAAUACAAGGAUACUGGAGAUUCCUCAUUAGGACCCGGAGGUGACCUUAGGGUAUAUCUGGAACGAUUAGCUGAGGCUCGAAAUGUUCAAGAAUAUGUUGCACAAAAUCCAUUUGGUCAGCGAGCCAUUACAGAAUCAAAUCCUUCCUGGGGUUUCUAUCAGAAGAUUUUAAGUGCUGACUUGUACCAAUGACAAGAUGUUGCUAGUAUACAGUAGUUAUGACACUGGGCAAUAGUGAUCGAUUUUGAAUGACCUGCAAAACACUUGCGUCUUUUGGCCCUGAGUGAUGUAAUUCAAUUUGCUUCUAAGGGCUGGAUUGAUGUUGCAGAAUGCGGUGCAUUUUUUCUCAAGUCAGUUCAGUUGCGUGGAAAACCAGAAACAUGUUUCCGGCUGAAUUAUGGAAGAUUGCUAUUGUGACUGCUGUUAUUUUGAUAACCAUGCAGAAUAGUGAUCUGGUUUUCGUCAACCUUAAGAUGAGCAACAUUUUUGUUUCUUGUGCUUUAGGCUGUUUUUUUUUUGGCCUAAUUUUUUACUCAAGAUUUAUGUAUCUUCAUUGGCAAUUAUUAGGUCUCACGGCAUGAUGUAUUGCUGAGCAAACAACUCUGAAUAGAGACGAGACCAUUUUAUUGAGAAAAGGCACAAAGACAAUAACAAGAUGGAGUCUUGAAUAAAUUUCUGUU
rnacentral:misc_RNA from 1 species